CAGCCGUAAACUAUGCGCGUUAGGUGUAUCGGUGACCACGAGUUACCGAGGUGCCGAAGGGAAACCGUGAAACGUGCCGCCUGGGAAGUACGGUCGCAAGGCUGAAACUUAAGGAAUUGGCGGGGGAGGCACCACAACGGGUGGAGCCUGCGGUUUAAUUGGACUCAACGCCGGGAAGCUCACCGGAUAAGACAGCGGAAUGAUUGCCGGGCUGAAGACUCUGCAUGACUAGCUGAGAGGAGGUGCAUGGCGUAGACGUCU
rnacentral:rRNA from 1 species